AGGAUGGGACUGCACAACUUGGAUUUUGCAGUAAUUGCGAAUGAUUGCAAAUUGUGUUUACCAUUCUAAUUGUUACACAUUGCGUGUGUAAUGAAUUGUUUGAUCAUGGCAUGUGCUACCAACACGCAAACACAUGUGUUUUUGAAACAAAGCAACAUGGAAUGUGAGAGUCAUGCUUGGUUUGCGCAUAUUGGGUACAGUGUGUGCCUUGUGAUUCACAUUCCUCGCCAUUGGAAUGCAAAUAAUCAUGGUAGUGUUCAUGAAGCAUCAUACUUGUUUGAGAUUCAUGAUGGGCAAGUACCAUGAGGGAAAUGUGAAAAGGACUUUGGAAAGAGAUUUAAACAGAGCUUACAAUUGUUGACCAUAUAUGCAAGUGAAGCAUAUUCGUGGAAUUUUGAAUAUUGUGAUUGGGUGUUCUGUUCAUGAUUGUUGUUCUUUUCCACUGUACAUUAUUGCUGCAUGCUUGCAUGUAAUACAUCUGUUAGUUCUACAAUUACUUUUGUUUGGAUUUACUUACAGGUUUGCUUAUGUGUGACAGUUCAUGCAACUACCCAUAUGUUCCAUGUGCGUAAGUGCUACUGCUUACAAAGCACAUAUGAUUUAUGUGACAGUGUGCAUUGUGAGUUCACCAUGGCUGAUUUAUGACAUCACUUGACC
rnacentral:rRNA from 1 species